AAAUCAGUUGAUACAGUACGCGUCACGUAAAAAGUACGCUGGAUGAAAGUGAUGGGGUGUGUUUGCGCAUGGAUCGAGUUUUGCACGUAAGCUAUGUGCCGAUUAUUUUAUUUUUGAACUAGGCUCGCGAAUCGUGGCUUCUCAACUACCUAUUUGUUAUUCUUAUACCACCUCAUAACACCAAAUAUACCGAUAAAUCGCCAAUGCGCAGCUUAACCGUCAGCGUUCU